AUUUUUGACAAGAAUAACAUUUGAUUUGAGAUUUAUCGUACCUUGCACCUUGGUUGCCUCUCCCACGACUUGGGUAUUCUCUUCUUUCUUCAUUAUUGUUGAAACCUCCUCGUCCACGUCCAUGGCCUCGACCUCGUCCACGACCACGACCUCUUCAAUAUUGACCUCGUCCAUUUUCAAUAUUUUCUUCCUUAUCUUUUAUUUGCAUUUUGAAUAAUUGCUCCACUAUAUCUUGUUUCUUCAAUUGUUAUGACAUUAUGCUCGAAUUUGGAAGUUAAUGACCGGAGUAUCUUCUCAAUAAUUCUAACAUCUUCCAA
rnacentral:lncRNA from 1 species